AGCGAGAACGGGACUUCAGGUCCCGGGGACACGCGGCUGAACGGGUUGCGUAACACGGUGAUGCAACCUGCCCCGAAGACCGGGACAAGCCGGGGUAAACCUGGUCUAAUACCGUGAUGUCCUCACCGAAUCGCAUGGUGUGGUGAGGAAAUGGAUUCCGCUUCGGGAUGGGCUCGCGGUCUAUCAGCUUGUUGGUGAGGUAAUGGCCCACCAAGGCGACGACGGAUAGCUGGUCUGAGAGGACGAUCAGCCACACUGGGACUGAGACACGGUCCAGACUCAUACGGGAGGCAGCAGUAGGGAAUCUUGCGCAAUGAGGGAAACCUUGACGCAGCGACGCCGCGUGCGGGAUGAAGGCCUUCGGGUUGUAAACCGCUUUCAGCAGGGACGAAAUUGACGGUACCAGAGGAAUAAGCACCGGCUAACUCCGUGCCAGCAGCCGCGGUAAUACGGAGGGUGCAAGCGUUAUCCGGAUUCACUGGGUUUAAAGGGUGCGUAGGUGGGCAGGUAAGUCCGUGGUGAAAUCCCUGAGCUUAACUCGGGAACUGCCAUGGAUACUAUUUGUCUUGAAUAUUGUGGAGGUAAGCGGAAUAUGUCAUGUAGCGGUGAAAUGCUUAGAUUGACCAUAGAAGCACCAAUUGCGAAGGCGCUUUACUACACAGUUUU
rnacentral:rRNA from 1 species